AUUAAAACGUAGCUAUGCCCACACAGCAGAAGCAGAAAUUCCCAGCAGAAAUUUGGCGGCAAUCUCCAAAGUGAAAAUGGAAAUGAAAGGUGCGGAGCGGAGAAGACGACUAUACCCUCUCUCCGAUCGCACCAACUCGUCUUCUUCCAACAACUUCAACAAAUCUGUCACCAAAUGCAACUCUCUUCUUCUUCUUCCUCCACCUCCUCCCGCCUUGUGCAGUGGAACACAUGAAAGGAGAAAUAACCAUAACAAAGCGGUGACCAAUCCACAACAAAACGUCUCUAAUAUCCGGGGAGGAAGUGAUGAAGUUGAAGCUUUGGAUCUCCUUGAAGCCAAGCAUUCGACAGUUCCUUGUAGAAAGGUAGAAAAAAAAUUUACCGUUAUGGUUCUGUACAGACUACAGACCUUCCAAGUUCCAACUCCUCUGAAUCUGUUGAUGUUGGUUUGGUUAUGCGACAAUCAUCUCAUCUUUCUGAAGUUGUAUCCAUGUUGGUAAUACAGUAAUUAGCACAUUUUGUAGGAUUGUAUACUCUGCAUGAGGCAUAUAUGGAGAAGCAGCGUUGCAUGUCUAACCAACAAAAGAAGUCCAAGAAUUCCCAGCUGCAAGAUUUCAUUGAAAAACAGAAUGCCUACUACAAAGAGGUCGAUGACUUUGUGCUAUCGGUAGAGGAGGUUGAAUCCAUUCAUGAGCUGGAGUAAGUGGAAGAGGUAGCAGCAUGAGUCCUUGUUUUUAGUUAUUUGUGUAAGUAUUGAUAUCCUAAUCAAAACCAUGAUGUAAAUAAGCAAAUAUCUAAGACUUCGAGUUCAUGAUUACUUUCGCAAUAGUCUAAUGGGGUAUGGAAAGAAACCACAGGAAAUUUUGUUUCAGGAUGAGAACUAAAAUUACAUGUAUUGAAGCCUCGAAAGUCUAUCAUCAGUUUAUCAGUCUUAUCUUUUAUAUGAAAGUCUUCGUUUUAUUGAAAUUCAUGAAUUUGUUAUUGUGAAAUUCAUUGAGCUUGGGGAUGAGAUAUGGUCUUGCAGUUUAAUUUGAUAACAUAUAGACAAAUAAAAAGUGGUAGUUUAUUGAUCAUUUGACAUAGUUUUAGACAAAGGGGUGGCUAAUUA